GGUAAUGGCCUACCAAGGCGACGAUGGUUAGCUGGUCUGAGAGGAUGAUCAGCCACACUGGAACUGAGACACGGUCCAGACUCCUACGGGAGGCAGCAGUGAGGAAUAUUGCGCAAUGGGGGCAACCCUGACGCAGCAACGCCGCGUGAGUGAGGAAGGUUUUCGGACCGUAAAGCUCUGUCGAGCGGGAAGAAAUGCAUGGUGGCUAAUAUCCAUCAUGCUUGACGGUACCGCUAAAGGAAGCACCGGCUAACUCCGUGCCAGCAGCCGCGGUAAUACGGGGGGUGCGAGCGUUGUUCGGAAUUAUUGGGCGUAAAGAGCGUGUAGGCGGCCGAAUAAGUCAGAUGUGAAAUCCCUGGGCUUAACCCAGGACGUGCAUUUGAAACUAUUCGGCUAGAGUAGGGGAGAGGAAAGUGGAAUUCCUGGUGUAGAGGUGAAAUUCGUAGAUAUCAGGAGGAACACCGGUGGCGAAGGCGACUUUCUGGCCCUAUACUGACGCUGAGACGCGAGAGCGUGGGUAGCAAACAGGAUUAGAUACCCUGGUAGUCCACGCUGUAAACGAUGUUCACUAGGUGUUGGGGGUAUUGACCCUCUCAGUGCCGCAGCUAACGCA
rnacentral:rRNA from 1 species